UACGUAGGGGGCUAGCGUUGUCCGGAUUUAUUGGGCGUAAAGAGCGUGUAGGCGGCCAGAUAAGUCCGCUGUGAAAUCUCGAGGCUCAACUUCGAGCUGUCGGUGGAAACUGUCUGGCUAGAGUCCGGAAGAGGAGAAUGGAAUUCCUGGUGUAGCGGUGAAAUGCGCAGAUAUCAGGAAGAACACCCGUGGCGAAGGCGGUUCUCUGGGCCGAUAUUGACGCUGAGGAGCGAAAGCGUGGGGAGCAAACGGG
rnacentral:rRNA from 1 species